rnacentral:rRNA from 1 species
UAGCUGGUUCUCUCCGAAAUAGCUUUAGGGCUAGCCUCAAGUGAUGAUUAUUGGAGGUAGAGCACUGUUUGGACGAGGGGCCCCUCUCGGGUUACCGAAUUCAGACAAACUCCGAAUGCCAAUUAAUUUAACUUGGGAGUCAGAACAUGGGUGAUAAGGUCCGUGUUCGAAAGGGAAACAGCCCAGACCACCAGCUAAGGUCCCAAAAUAUAUGUUAAGUGGAAAAGGAUGUGGCGUUGCCCAGACAACUAGGAUGUUGGCUUAGAAGCAGCCAUCAUUUAAAGAGUGCGUAAUAGCUCACUAGUCGAGUGACACUGCGCCGAAAAUGUACCGGGGCUAAACAUAUUACCGAAGCUGUGGAUUGUCCUUUGGACAAUGGUAGGAGAGCGUUCUAAGGGCGUCGAAGCAUGAUCGCAAGGACAUGUGGAGCGCUUAGAAGUGAGAAUGCCGGUGUGAGUAGCGAAAGACGGGUGAGAAUCCCGUCCACCGAUUGACUAAGGUUUCCAGAGGAAGGCUCGUCCGCUCUGGGUUAGUCGGGUCCUAAGCUGAGGCCGACAGGCGUAGGCGAUGGAUAACAGGUUGAUAUUCCUGUACCACCUAGUAUCGUUUUAAUCGAUGGGGGGACGCAGUAGGAUAGGCGAAGCGUGCUGUUGGAGUGCACGUCCAAGCAGUAAGGCUGAGUGUUAGGCAAAUCCGGCACUCAUAAGGCUGAGCUGUGAUGGGGAGAGGAAAUUGUUUCCUCGAGUCGUUGAUUUCACACUGCCGAGAAAAGCCUCUAGAUAGAUAACAGGUGCCCGUACCGCAAACCGACACAGGUAGUCAAGAUGAGAAUUCUAAGGUGAGCGAGCGAACUCUCGUUAAGGAACUCGGCAAAAUGACCCCGUAACUUCGGGAGAAGGGGUGCUCUUUAGGGUUCACGCCCAGAAGAGCCGCAGUGAAUAGGCCCAAGCGACUGUUUAUCAAAAACACAGGUCUCUGCUAAACCGUAAGGUGAUGUAUAGGGGCUGACGCCUGCCCGGUGCUGGAAGGUUAAGAGGAGUGGUUAGCUUCUGCGAAGCUACGAAUCGAAGCCCCAGUAAACGGCGGCCGUAACUAUAACGGUCCUAAGGU